rnacentral:pre_miRNA from 1 species
UUUUCUACAAAUUGGAAUGACCUGAAAUUUGGAGUGUGUGUUCAUCAAAAAUAGACGAAUCUACGAAAAAAUAUCAAAAAAAUAUUUUACAUGAAAACAAUUGACCAAAAUACCCCCAAAAAGUUUUGGGGGUAUUUUGGUCAAUUUAUUUUUUCUCAAAUUAUUUGUUUUAUAUUUUUAUUAGGUGCGCUUCACUAAGAUGUACACACAUUCCAACUUUCAGAUCCUUCCGAUUUGUAGAAAA